AACGAACGCUGGCGGCAUGCCUAACACAUGCAAGUCGAACGAGACCUUCGGGUCUAUUGUCGCACGGGUUCGUAACGCGUGGGAACCUUCCCUUAUGUUCGGACUAACUCCCCGACAGGGGUGCUAAUACCGGAUAAUGUCUUCUUCCCAAAGAUUUAUCGCCUUUGGAUGGGCCCUCGUUUGAUUAGCUAGUUGUUAGGGUAAAAGCAUACCAAGGCCCCCAUCCAUAGCUUGUCUGAGAGGCUGAUCAGCCACACUGGGACUGAGACACGGCCCGGAAUCUUACGGGAGGCAGCAGUGGGGAAUAUUGGACAAUGGGCGAAAGCAUGAUCCAGAAAGGCCGGGUGAGUGAUGAAGGCCGUAGGGUUGUAAAGCUCAUUUACCCGGGAUGAUAAUGACAGUACCGGGAGAAUAAGCUCCGGCUAACUCCGUG
rnacentral:rRNA from 1 species